AUUGAACGCUGGCGGCAUGCCUUACACAUGCAAGUCGAACGGUAACAGGGUGCUUGCACCGCCGACGAGUGGCGAACGGGUGAGUAAUGCGUCGGAACGCACCGAGUAAUGGGGGAUAACGCAGCGAAAGCUGUGCUAAUACCGCAUACGCUCUGAGGAGGAAAGCGGGGGACCUUCGGGCCUCGCGUUAUUCGAGCGGCCGACGUCUGAUUAGCCAGUAGGUGAGGUAAGAGCUCACCUAGGCGACGAUCAGUAGCGGGUCGGAGAGGAUGUUCCGCGACACUGGAGCUGAGGCACGGCCCUGACUCCUACGUGAGGAAGCAUGGAGGAAUGUUGGAGAAUGGGCGCAAGCCUGAUCCCGCCAGGCCGGGUGUCGGAAGAAGGCCUUCGGGUUGUAAAGGACUUUUGUCAGGGAGGAAAUCCUUAUCGCUAAUACCGUUGAGGGAUGACAGUACCUGAAGAAUAAGCACCGGCUAACUACGUGCCAGCCGCCGCCGUAA
rnacentral:rRNA from 1 species